rnacentral:rRNA from 1 species
AUUGAACGCUGGCGGCAGGCCUAACACAUGCAAGUCGAGCGGAUGAAGGGAGCUUGCUCCUGGAUUCAGCGGCGGACGGGUGAGUAAUGCCUAGGAAUCUGCCUGGUAGUGGUGGAUAACGUCCGGAAACGGGCGCUAAUACCGCAUACGUCCUUAGGUAGAAAGUGGGGGUUCUUCGGACCUCACGCUAUCAGAUGAGCCUAGGUCGGAUUAGCUAGUUGGUGGGGUAAAGGCCUACCAAGGCGACGAUCCGUAACUGGUCUGAGAGGAUGAUCAGUCACACUGGAACUGAGACACGGUCCAGACUACUACGGGAGGCAGCAGUGGGGAAUAUUGGACAAUGGGCGAAAGCCUGAUACAGCAAUGCCGCGUGUGUGAAGAAGGUCUUCGGAUUGUAAAGCACUUUAAGUUGGGAGGAAGGGAAGUAAGUUAAUACCUUGCUGUAUUGACGUUACCAACAGAAUAAGCACCGGCUAACUUCGUG